rnacentral:pre_miRNA from 1 species
AUAAUACUCCCUCCGUCUAGAAUUACUUGUCAUCAAAAUGGAUGUGUCUAGAACUAAAAUACAUCCAGAUACAUCCAUUUCAAUGACAAGUAUUUUUGGACGGAGGGAGUAGUAG